GACGAACGCUGGCGGCGUGCUUAACACAUGCAAGUCGAACGGAAAGGCCCUGCUUUUGUGGGGUGCUCGAGUGGCGAACGGGUGAGUAACACGUGAGUAACCUGCCCUUGACUUUGGGAUAACUUCAGGAAACUGGGGCUAAUACCGGCUGGGAGCUCCUGCUGCAUGGUGGGGGUUGGAAAUUUUCGGCGGUUGGGGAUGGACUCGCGGCUUAUCAGCUUGUUGGUGGGGUAGUGGCUUACCAAGGCUUUGACGGGUAGCCGGCCUGAGAGGGUGACCGGCCACAUUGGGACUGAGAGACGGCCCAGACUCCUACGGGAGGCAGCAGUGGGGAAUAUUGCACAAUGGGCGGAAGCCUGAUGCAGCAACGCCGCGUGCGGGAUGACGGCCUUCGGGUUGUAAACCGCUUUCGCCUGUGACGAAGCGUGAGUGGCGGUAAUGGGUAAAGAAGCACCGGCUAACUACGUG
rnacentral:rRNA from 1 species